GUGCGUCGCAGCCCCGGACCAAGGCGCCCGCCGGAGGACCAACCAAAACUCUUAUUGUAUACCCCCUCGCGGGUUUUUUUAUAAUCUGAGCCUUCUCGGCGCCUCUCGUAGGCGUUUCGAAAAUGAAUCAAAACUUUCAACAACGGAUCUCUUGGUUCUGGCAUCGAUGAAGAACGCAGCGAAAUGCGAUAAGUAAUGUGAAUUGCAGAAUUCAGUGAAUCAUCGAAUCUUUGAACGCACAUUGCGCCCGCCAGUAUUCUGGCGGGCAUGCCUGUCCGAGCGUCAUUUCAACCCUCGAACCCCUCCGGGGGGUCGGCGUUGGGGAUCGGCCCUGCCUUGGCGGUGGCCGUCUCCCGAAAUACAGUGGCGGUCUCGCCCGCAGCCUCUCCUGCGCAGUAGUUUUGCACACUCGCAUCGGGGAGCGCGGGCCGCGUCCACAGCCGUUAAACACCAAAUUUCUGAAAUGUGACCUCGGAUCAGGUAGGAUACCCGG
rnacentral:rRNA from 1 species